GACGAACGCUGGCGGCAGGCUUAACACAUGCAAGUCGAACGAACUCUUCGGAGUGAGUGGCAGACGGGUGCGUAACACGUGGGAACCUACCUUAAGGUACGGAACAACACCGAGAAAUUGGUGCUAAUACCGUAUGUGCCCUUCGGGGGAAAGAUUUAUCGCCUUAAGAUGGGCCCGCGGCAGAUUAGAUAGUUGGUGGGGUAAUGGCCUACCAAGUCGACGAUCUGUAGCUGGUCUGAGAGGAUGAUCAGCCACACUGGGACUGAGACACGGCCCAGACUCCUACGGGAGGCAGCAGUGGGGAAUAUUGGGCAAUGGGCGCAAGCCUGACCCAGCCAUGCCGCGUGAGUGAUGAAGCCUUAGGGUUGUAAAACUCUUUCGCUAGUGAAGAUAAUGACGGUAACUAGUAAAGAAG
rnacentral:rRNA from 1 species